GAUGAACGCUAGCGGGAGGCUUAACACAUGCAAGUCGUGGGGCAGCAUUGGGUAGCAAUACUCAGAUGGCGACCGGCGCACGGGUGAGUAACGCGUAUGCAACUUACCUUGUACUGGGGGAUAGCCCGGAGAAAUCCGGACUAAUACCGCAUAACACUAUGAUGUCGCAUGGCAUUAUAGUUAAAGAUUUAUUGGUAACAGAUGGGCAUGCGUGACAUUAGCUUGUUGGUGAGGUAACGGCUCACCAAGGCAACGAUGUCUAGGGGUUCUGAGAGGAAGGUCCCCCACACUGGUACUGAGAUACGGACCAGACUCCUACGGGAGGCAGCAGUGAGGAAUAUUGGUCAAUGGGCGAGAGCCUGAACCAGCCAAAUCGCGUGCAGGAUGACUGCCUUAUGGGUUGUAAACUGCUUUUGUAAAGGAAUAACAACUCUUACGUGUAAGAGGAUGAAUGUACUUUAAGAAUAAGGAUCGGCUAACUCCGUGCCAGCAGCCGCAGUAACAC
rnacentral:rRNA from 1 species